rnacentral:rRNA from 1 species
AGAUUGAACGCUGGCGGCAUGCCUAACACAUGCAAGUCGAACGGGAGUAGCAAUACUCUAGUGGCGGACGGGUGAGGAAUACGUAGGAAUUUGCCCUUAAGUGGGGGAUAACCCGGGGAAACCCGGAUUAAUACCGCAUGACCUCGAAAGAGCAAAGUGGGGGAUCGCAAGACCUCACGCUUUUGGAGAAGCCUACGUCGGAUUAGCUAGUUGGUGAGGUAAUGGCUCACCAAGGCGACGAUCCGUAACUGGUCUGAGAGGAUGAUCAGUCACACCGGAACUGAGACACGGUCCGGACUCCGUACGGGAGCAGCAGUGGGAAUAUGGACAAGUGGGCGCAAGCCUGAUCAGCAAGUGCCGCGGUGUGGUGAAAGGAACGGUCCGUUUCGGGUUUAGUAAAGGACUAACGUUUUAAAGGUUGGGAAAAGUAAAAAACUACG